UGAGGAAUAUUGGUCAAUGGGCGCGAGCCUGAACCAGCCAAGUCGCGUGAGGGAAGACGGUCCUAUGGAUUGUAAACCUCUUUUGUCGGGGAGCAAAAGACGCCACGCGUGGCGUUCCGAGAGUACCCGAAGAAAAAGCAUCGGCUAACUCCGUGCC
rnacentral:rRNA from 1 species